GAGGUUGUAGCUCAGUGGUGCAGCACCCGCCUGGCAAGCACGAGGUCCUGAGUUUGAUUCCCAGUACCCCCC
rnacentral:tRNA from 1 species